GAUGGGGAGAAGACAUUGUGUCUUCGAGUCGUUGAUUUCACACUGCCGAGAAAAGCCUCUAGAUAGAAAAUAGGUGCCCGUACCGCAAACCGACACAGGUAGUCAAGAUGAGAAUUCUAAGGUGAGCGAGCGAACUCUCGUUAAGGAACUCGGCAAAAUGACCCCGUAACUUCGGGAGAAGGGGUGCUCUUUAGGGUUAACGCCCAGAAGAGCCGCAGUGAAUAGGCCCAAGCGACUGUUUAUCAAAAACACAGGUCUCUGCUAAACCGUAAGGUGAUGUAUAGGGGCUGACGCCUGCCCGGUGCUGGAAGGUUAAGAGGAGUGGUUAGCUUCUGCGAAGCUACGAAUCGAAGCCCCAGUAAACGGCGGCCGUAACUAUAACGGUCCUAAGGUAGCGAAAUUCCUUGUCGGGUAAGUUCCGACCCGCACGAAAGGCGUAACGAUUUGGGCACUGUCUCAACGAGAGACUCGGUGAAAUCAUAGUACCUGUGAAGAUGCAGGUUACCCGCGACAGGACGGAAAGACCCCGUGGAGCUUUACUGUAGCCUGAUAUUGAAAUUCGGCACAGCUUGUACAGGAUAGGUAGGAGCCUUUGAAACGUGAGCGCUAGCUUACGUGGAGGCGCUGGU
rnacentral:rRNA from 1 species